rnacentral:lncRNA from 1 species
UGCAGUUCGUCAAAUAUAUCUGAAAAUUCAGCAAGCAAAGGAAGUAGGUUUGGAUCUUCAAAUUCUAUUGGCUCUCCCUUAGUUUGCUGCUCAAGUUGUACCAAAAGGCCGCUGCAUGCUUUAUGCAAAACCUUCUUCAUUUGUUGUGUGCAAAUCGUCGUUAUGUCGCCCUCACGUUUCCCAUUCAGUAUCACCUAUUUCUCCUUACAGUAAAAUUUCAUAAUUAGUUGCAUAAAAUUCCAAGAAAUAUCACCUAAUAUCAUCAACCAUUUAAUU